rnacentral:rRNA from 1 species
GAUGAACGCUGGCGGCGUGCCUAAUACAUGCAAGUCGAGCGAACGGACGAGAAGCUUGCUCCUCUGAUGUUAGCGGCGGACGGGUGAGUAACACGUGGAUAACCUACCUAUAAGACUGGGAUAACUUCGGGAAACCGUAGCUAAUACCGGAUAAUAUUUUGAACCGCAUGGUUCAAAAGUGAAAGACGGUCUUGCUGUCACCUAUAGAUGGAUCCGCGCUGCAUUAGCUAGUUGGUAAGGUAACGGCUUACCAAGGCAACGAUGCAUAGCCGACCUGAGAGGGUGAUCGGCCACACUGGAACUGAGACACGGUCCAGACUCCUACGGGAGGCAGCAGUAGGGAAUCUUCCGCAAUGGGCGAAAGCCUGACGGAGCAACGCCGCGUGAGUGAUGAAGGUCUUCGGAUCGUAAAACUCUGUUAUUAGGGAAGAACAUAUGUGUAAGUAACUGUGCACAUCUUGACGGUACCUAAUCAGAAAGCCACGGCUAACUACGUG